UAAAUCUACUUAAGUAAAGUACAGAUACACGAAAAUUGUACUUAAGUACGGUAACGACGUACUUGUACUUGGUUACUUCCUACCACUGCAGACGUCCCACCAGGGGUCAGAGGUCAGCCUCACUGUGAGCAGAGCUGCAAUUCAUCCUGCUGCAGGCUGGUUGGGUGUAACCUCCAACCUACCAACACCGGACCGGAACCAAUACCAGCUGUUUACUGGGACCAGAACCAAUCGGAACCGACCAUCUCUCUUCUUCAUCUAUGAAGGAAUAAAACUUCUGCGAUAUAAAUCGCAAUAUCGAUAUUAUUACACAGCCCUAAAUGGAAGAUUAAUAUAUGAAAACUAAGACUUGUAUCGUCUUAAAGUGGCUUCAGGAGAGGGAGAAGUUCAAUGGAUCCAGUUUUACGUUUAGAGCUACUGUAACAUAGAUAAUAAUGUAUAGAAAUCCACUUGUCAUCACUGUGUAACGGGUGAAACAGCACCUCCUCCUGGUGGUUGGCAGGAUUGAGUAAUGGGUGAAACAGCUCCCCCUCCUGGUGGUUGGCAGGAUUGAGUAAUGGGUGAAACAGCUCCCCCUCCUGGUGGUUGGCAGGAUUGAGUAAUGGGUGAAACAGCACCCCCUCCUGGUGGUUGGCAGGAUUGAGUAAUGGGUGAAACAGCACCCCCUCCUGGUGGUUGGCAGGAUUGAGUAAUGGGUGAAACAGCACCCCCUCCUGGUGGUUGGCAGGAUUGAGUAAUGGGUGAAACAGCACCCCCUCCUGGUGGUUGGCAGUAUUGUGAACACAGACAUCUCAAUGGGCGCGAGGCAGGUUCCGGUAAAACGUCAUGUUAGCUUGUUGCUAACAUGAAACCCGCUGUGAUGAACCUGAUUCCUGAUCAGUCCACAUUCUGCUCCGCACUGAUGAACAACGUUUCAUCUCAUCCUGCCUCCUGGUCCUUAUUCACACAAGAAUGGGUGUAAAUGGUUGUAUGUUUAGAUGGAUUAAAAACUUUACAAUUUUGGAAAUAAUAAAAAAAAAAAUGUGAAAGAGGUGGCAAACGUUAUGGGUAGAAGAAAGGAAAGGACGGUGGUUUCAUAAAAUCCAAAAGAGAAUUGGACAAAUGAGAAGAACACGAAGAAACAGGAGAGAAGAGAUAAUUAUUCACAACUUGGGAUCAGACGCACUGCGCUGAGUAGCUCAUUAUUUCUGGUAGGGAAACAUCCGAGCGGGAAAACGAGACAGUGCGACAUGUUAUCUUGCAUUGCAGGAAUUACUGGAUUCAGAGAAACAAGUUAAUUAGGUGCCUUGGUAAUAAAUGAAGUUUGGCUUUGUUGAUUUACUGCAAAAGGAUUCAGGAAGCAGAGGAUAUCAGGCUAUAUUUGAUUUUUUUAAGCAGUGUAAGUUGUAUAAUAGGAUCUAGUUUUUUUCUGUUUUAUUUUAUGUCAUGUGGUUCACUGUUCUUACCGGUUGAUGGCGGUAAUGCUCACCUAUCGCUUCUUGCCAACCGCCUAUAAAUUUCAAGAAGAAGAAGAAGUAGUAGAAGAAGAAGUAGAAGAAGACAACAACUGCAGUUGCAGUUACGGGUCAGACAUGGCUGCGUGUGAGACGUUAACCCGCUGCCAUCCUCAUCUGCGGUUCUAAAUCUGAACUUUGUAACGACCUGACUUGUUUGCAGGAAGGUGAGUUUUGUUCCUGACCGGUUUUGUUCGGUGGAUGUUAUUUGAAAUCCGGAGUUUUUAACGCAUGAUCAGCAGCGUGUUGCUUCUCGUCUCCUGUAAAGAUGGCGCCGUUCUCAGCGGUAAACGGAUGGCUUUUAAACGCCAGUUAGUGGUUUUCAGUGACUGCUGCAUCCGUUUCCAGCGAGGCUGAACCUGCCGUGGUUCUGGCCUUUCCUACACGGUUUGCUACAGAGAAGUGAGGCAGUUUGAGGCCCUGCUGCGGCUUUUCCCGGCAGGGUUUUAGGUGAUUGUGUCGGAGUCGGCUGAGAUGAUGGCGGAUGAACUGGUAAGGCUCUUCUUCCUCCAUGCAGCUGCUGUGGUUCUGUGCUGCGGCGCCACCUGCAGGCUGAUUGGCUUUCUGCAGGAGGAGCUUCUUUCUGAUUGGCCGGCUGCUCUGGCAGCGGCUGAUCGGGUCUGACUUCCUGCUGAAACAUCAGACCUGAUCCAACGAUCUGGAUAAAUACAGUAUAAAUAAAGUUUAUAUGUAAAUGUGA